ACCAUUUUAGACCUGAAUCUGAACCUGAAGUUGAAGUGCCACGUCCUGUUAGAAGAGGUGAAGUAGUACAGGAACGGGUUAAGGCAACAGUUGAAACUCACCAGGGCUAAGGUGACCCUUCGCAUUUUGUAGAUCAGGAAGAGUCCGGAUGAUGGAGCCAUGGCAAACGGUGGAAAAGCCCGUGCAUCCUUCAUCUCCAGCAACUCCUUUAUAUGAUGCGGUGCCAACUUUCCCUGGCCAACUGCAACCAGAGCUCCAACCAUUCUUCGGACCUGAAAAGACAGCACGCAGCUUAGGAACUGCCCCUUGUAGCAUUUAAGAGGUUGAGUCCUGCACUUCUUUGUAUCAGCAGUGGUUUGUGUGGUAGAACAGCCCCUUCCCUCCCUACAACUGUGGGCACCAGGAAAAUCAAGACCUGUAACACAAUGUAACACAACCAUCUCCAGUUCCACUGCCUUGGAGCAGGUCUGUUCUCAUCGCAGGUGGGAAGAGAGCUGAGCAGACAUGGUUUCUAUUUCAAAAGCAGCAGCAGCCACACGCUGCCUGUGACAGGAAGCUCACUUGCUGCUGGGUGAGCUGGGCUCACACGUUCUUGAUGCACAAGCAACAAUUUCCAGGUGGGGGCUACGUAGGGGCCUGCUUCUCUCUCAGAGAGCCACAAAAGCAAAAGGAGAAAAAACAACACACCAAGUGAGAAAGCCCACCAGCCAACUAAGUCAUCAGAUUGGCAUUUUGAACACCUCCACAUGUCACAGCUUCCCUCCCCUCCACACUAAGCAAUUCCAAAUCGACUGGGUUAGCACAAACUUCACACCCAGUGCUCACCUACUGUCACACCCUCGCACAUCAGCAUCCUCCUGGCUGAAAGCCACCCUUCCCUGGGCUGCCCCCAAGCCAUGGUGCUCUCAUCACAUCCCAGUGGCAUUUCCAUGCCCACCAAACUGUCCCCCAGUCGCAAAUGCACAGCAGCUCCUUGUGGAGGAAUCACGGCAAGCAGAGAUGGGAAACUUAAACCAGUUCUCCAAAUACGGUGCUUAAAAUAACAUUUACAAAAGAUUAAACCAAAGUCCACUAAGCAACCUCAUCAAGUUCAUCCCCGUUAAAGAGCAAAGAUACAUUUAUCCAAAGGCAGGCAUUAUUUUCACCUCCUUGCUUGGAGCUAAGCUGCACUACGUGGUGCCCAGAGCCUGCCUUGUAGCCAUUCUGCUGUCAUGGAGAAGAAGCACAGAUCCUAAGUGUAUGUUAUGUUAUCUGUCCCUCACUAGGGGUCAUUGCACGCUGUGACUUCAGCUUUGAUGUCUCCACACGUGGAGUUAGCUGGUGUAAAUCCAAACGGAUGGGAGGCAUCUGAAACAGCCUCCUGCUUGGUGUCUCCCCACUGCUCCACGUCCUUCAGGGAGAAGAUACACAUACAGUUUCUGAGGCUGUUUAACCCUAUUCUCUAAUAAAAACAUCCAGAUGGUAAAACCUAACAUAGCAGCCAUAUGAGAUGACAUCAGAGGUCCAUCUAGCCCAGUAAGCUCUCUGUGACAGAGUGCAGAAGCAGAUGCUCAGGUCCAAGAGUGCAGGUUCACCGUGUACAGUCUGUUCCUUCUCCCCUGGCCUGCCAGCUGGCUCUGAGGCUGCUGCUGAAAGCCCCACUCACACAGGGCAGUGGGCUCAGCAUUACUGUGCAGAAAGAGAGAGCUACCAAUGUCACUAAGUAGCAUUUCCAGUCUAAUGCCUUAAAUGGGUUACCAGCAUUUUCUCCUUGUCACAAGAGCAGCCGAUGAAGCAGAUCCCUGCUAUGUAUCAAGCCUUCUCAAGCAUGUUAUCGUCCUUCCCCUGCUCAUAUCCAGACACCCACUGUCAGAGAGCUUACGGAGCAUUGCUUGGCACAGGAUAAAAACAAAUCUAGUUUGUCAAAACAGAAUAAAAAAUAACUGUUCCCACAAAACACCCCCUCUCUCUUCCAAAACAAGCCUUCCCAUGCCUAUUCUGUCUCCAGAGUGUGACUGUGCCCGGAGUAGGCAGACAGAACAGCCAAUUGUUUCCUAAUGAGGUGAUCCAUUAAGUUGUGGAGAGAGCCGUCUCCCUUGAGGACAGCAGCAAAAACCCCACUGGAGUUAUUUCAAAGAAAACCCAGCAGCAUGACAGAGGGAACGAUCCUGCAGUCGUGCCUGCAUAGCUGAAUCAGGUCUUCCCAUCUCUCCUUCAUGCAACACUGAGAAUUACCUCAUGCUCCAAAGCCAGAAAGUAAAAUUCCAGGCAGCCUUCACUGGGCCCAGUGCCAUUCAGCAGAGCAAGAACAUAUGUCUCUUGGUUUUUACCACUCGGACUGCAAGGACAAAGACUGAGGAAAACAAAACUUUCCAUCCUCCCACUCCAUUCUGUGACUUUGGUCAUUCAUUUUAGACACAAACCGAAGGCAGUCUGGUUCUAUUGGGUCAAACCAACAAACACGGAGCCUCGGUUCACAGAGGCAAGGUCCCUGUGUGUAUCAUGAAGCUAUAGGACCAGCUCUGCAACAGAGAUGCCACUUCACAUGGAUGCAACACUGCCAAAUCAAUCGUGUUCCAGUGAGAGCGAUACUUGGGUUCUUGGAGACGAAGGGUGCACGGAGCAGAACAGUACCUGUCGGUAAAGAAAUGAUCUGCUCUUGAACUUCAGCUCCCAAAACUGCAGUCCCCUACAGAUACAAACAGAAAAAAAAGCGUUUAAAAAUCACAUCUCAAAUGUGAAAACUUCUUACAAGAACAGCAUAAGACGUAGCUGAACAUGAGCAGAAUGAACAGGUAGCUGAGAUCCAUGUCUGCCUUAAAGAUCACUAAUUAGAGCUACAAAUAGCCAACAAAUCUAGCUCAAAUGCUGCCGUUUACCUUUGUUGGGAACAACUACAUAGGUCAGUUAUGGCUACAUUGAAAUAAUUCACACAUCUGUAGUGGAGAAGUAACAUUAAUAAGAGAAAUUAAUGAGAAAUAAAGACACCUUUGUCAGAAAGGGAACAAUGCAAGUGUAUGAGAAAAGCAGAUUUGUUGUCUUGAGAGUGAACAGGGCCACGUGAAGCACACACUGUCCAAAGCCAGAGGCAAUCAUUUAUUUAUUGCUGGGAUGGCACUGGAGUCAGCUGCUGGAAGCAGAGCUGUCUGCCAGGGACAGGACAAGUGUGCCCCAAGGCAGGCAAAAGGACACCACGGCCCAAGCCAUAAUGCCCAAAAGCUUCAAUUCCCAAAAAACCCUGCAUAAAACAGGGGCCUAUCUUUGCUCAGAGGCAGGGUGGCAGGGCAGCUGGCUGUGAAAACACCAAUGCUGUGGCAGGGACUGUGUAGGUGAGCCCAGCUGUUUGGGUAAAUGCUGUUCUACAUGGGAAGAAAAGCUUUGACAGAAGCAUGGCAACAAAUUGAAACUCUCACUUGCUUUGCCAUUCAUUCUGGGCACAAACAACAUCUUUUUCACCCAAAUUUCAAGCACUUUAAAGGGAAAUUUUACAGCCAUAUCUGGUGGCUUAGUGCCACUGCUAAGCAGCGCUGAAGCAGCAGCCUUCCCCUAAACCUCCCUGUGAUAAAAAAUAAUCAGUUCAAACUAACAGGAUUUGGAACAAAAAAGGAGUUAUCAUAAGAACACCUCCAGGACAGUUAAAGGAGAUUAAGGAGCAACAAUUCAGCUACAAAUCUUCUGAAGCCUUCAGACGAAGAAGACGUCGGUAAGCACAAGUUCUGCUUCAGCACUUCAAGGCCCAGCCUGCCAGAUGGAUCUUUAGGCUGUUGCAAAACACCAUCCUGCAGCUAGAGCCUCUAUGAGGGCUGCUGGUUCAACAGGAGGGGCAGAUGCUUGCUGAGAUGUAAGCUACUUUGAGUCACUGGCUGCCUCAAAGCCAACAAGCUGCUCUUUUAGAAGUGCAAACUGCAGAGAGAACACAGAGAAUUAGUCUUUUUCCUGGGCACCUCUGAAGUGCUCCAAACACCACCUCUGUUUAGGCAGAGGACGUGUCUGUUGUGCUAAAGGAGAGCAAAGAGUUGAAAUACCUGCAGACUGUCUGACCUGACUGGAGGAGGUAGCUCCAAGGAGGAGGUACAAACUGCAAGAUUCCAUACAAGACAAAAUAGCCCUUAAUUGUAGCAUUAUUUUUUAACAGCGGAGGUUUCGGUGCUUAAGGAUGGUUCUUCUCUAGACAUUUCUAAGAGAGAAGUGAAAUGAAAACAUUUAUGGUGGCUGAGAAUGCGACCACAAAGCCAGGCCAGCUCCCAGAGCUCAAACACCAGUCUCUGCUCUGGCCAGGAGAUGGCUUUACUUAGCAAACAGAACGCAAGGUGACAGCUGCACUGACACCCAUGUGCUCUGCUGCUCUCCAGGAGGAGAGGAUGGAAUGAACCAAAAGGGAAGAGAAGAAGGAUUGGUGAAGAAAGGAUGGCAGAGGGCCUGCUGAUGAGUGCUGGGUAACUGUCCUGCGUCAGGGGCAUAAUGGGCACUGAAAGUACUGUCAAGUUGGCAAAUUCCAACCUGAAAACCGCUUUCUCCUCUUCUUGCAACAAACUCUUCUGCCAGAUGUUUUCCCCAGAAAAACAGUUGGCGGAAUUCCAGGAAAGAUCAAAUCCUGAUGUGGACAGCAGAGCAGCAAAUGUUUAAAAACCUGCUGCCAAAGUGGAGCUCUGCAAUGUCAGCAUUGCAUCUCACCCAAGAGGAGCGCUUACCUCGUGUCAGGCUGAACUAAAUGAUUUGCCCUCAGCAGCAUUUCUGCCAUCCCAUAAAUCAUUCUGGACGUGACUGAACAUUUCUAGCUCUGAUAAAAGCUUUUCACUUGUCAAGUCACAAACAACACUUAUGGAAGCUCUAAUUCCACCAUGUGCACAGCCUAACAAAGACUACCAUAACAGCCUCAGCCUCUUCCCAUAGCAUUUUUUCAGACCAAAACCUUUGCACAUUGCUAACAGCAUCCUGCAAGGAGAGGAGAGCACUGGGGCACAGGAAGCGCACAGCCCUGGUAUGAGCACCUCUCCUUCCUGCAGCUCUUCUAGCAGCAGACACAUGGAGGGCUGCAAAAGCAAAGUCUGCAGGAUUUGUAAUUCAGUGCCAUGAUAGGGAGCAAGCACAGGAGCAGGGGUUGUGGGGAGUGCCUUGGGGAUGUUACAUUAAGGGUUCAUAGUGACAAAGGACUGAAUUUUGUGCAUCACUCAGAUGAAGGCAACAAGGAGAAGAGAAUUCAAAACCAUCAGGAUGGAGAUCGAGCAGUGGGUAUCUUGUGGCAGGGGGAAACAGUGCAGACAAAAUAAGACUCUUGUAACCAACUGCAGCAACAUCCAUCAUUCCACAUCAGGGAUGCUUGCAAAAAGGCUGCAUUGAUUGCCUCUGAUCUGCAUUGCACAACAGAUCGGUCUUCUUUUCCACUGCUCUCCCCACACUGCCCCUUCCUUCACCACUGCCCACAGCAGGCUCAGGAGCUCAAAUCCAGACAGACAAAAUAGACUUUUGAGGAAGCCAGCUGCCCUGCAAAGAAUUCAGAAUGUAAACCACCCCACAGCCUGCUCUGGGCAGCAGUUCUGGGGCAGCUGUAGGCUGAGAGUAAGCAGAGCAGGAAAAGGCAGAGGAAUAUUUGAGGAUGGAUGGAUAGAUACCACUGCAUGAAAACAUAUCUUUUUCCCCUCUCCAAAUCUGUUGGUACAGAUACCAUUGUCCAGAAAGUUUUAAGGUGGUAACCAGUGCUCCCUACAAGGGCAAUACUGUCAAACAGUACUAAAAGUCCAUAGGUGUCUACACACAAAACCUCUCCUCCUUUCCCUUGCCAUGAGCCCAGUUGUGUGGGGCUCUGAAGACUCGAAUCAGCUGUGGGAAAAGCACAGCUGCAACAUAUUUGUCUGGGGGGUUCAGGACAGGCUGGGUUUGCUGGAAACACCUGGGCAUAAUGGAGGGGGCUGCCCAUGGCUUAAAAGACAGCUCUUGUAAAUGGUGGAAAAAGAUGAAGCAGGGACAACAUGAUUCACAGCCUGCAUAGGGUACUGGGGAAGGGUGAGCAGGAAGGGAGACUAAAAUUAUCACCCCAGGGAGCAGCUGCAAGCUGUUUUCUCAGAGGAUUCACAGAUAUGUUACUGCUUUUAACCCUCCCUGUUGUGUAUGUUGGUAAAUGCAAAGGCAACUCCUACCCCCGGAUUCCUCUUUAUGUCAGGAAAUGACAAUUCUUCCAUCACUUACAUAUGGUUUGCUCUCCCUACAGCAAGGAGGACGUGGCAUACAGACAUGUGCAGUGCUGGGCACGUGCACAAAUACCCACCACGCUGCAGCCAGGAGUCUGCUCAGCUCUUCAGCAAUGGUUAGCUCAGUGGUGAAGUACUUUGCUUACUUGUGUGGUGGUCAAGCUCUCCAGCCAGCAGUGGCAGCCUAACAACAGACAGCAGGAAUGCAGCCAGCAUCCCCCAGGAAGGCAGCAGGAGUUACUGGUGUGAACUGAGAGGAUAUGCAUAGCUACAGCAGUGCCCUAGGUGUCGGGUUGGUGCUGCAGGGAGUUUUGUCAGCCUAAGCGCCUCUGGCUCACACCUCUUCACUGCAAAGGCUCAGACCACAGAAGAAGAAAUUAAAGCUGAGCCACAGGCCUCUGCAAAGAUUUGCAAUAACAAGCCCAGAAGACCGCUUCACUGCUAUAAACUCCCAUCAGAAAUGCAAACUACAUCCUCCAGGCCUGCAAUGGAGUUUGAACCUAGGACCUCCAGCGUCUUCUAAACACAGUAAUAUAAUUAGGUACUCCAUUUAUUUUCCUCUGUCUACAUGUCUCCGCAAGCAUUUCAUCUCCCUUGAGCUUCUCCUGUUAACACUUAAGUGAUUUUUAUUAAAUAACCAUCCUUUUAUAAUCUCCCAUAGAACGAUUCUUUCAGAAAAGCCCAUUUAUACUCGCAUGAUUCUUGCCUCUCCUGGUAGAUGCAAUUGCUAUCUUGGGCUCUUUCAAGCUGGGAGUCUCUUAUUCCACCAGUUCUUCAAACACUACAUUUCCAGCCUUGUUAACGUCCCCUUUUUUACAAGACUGCAGGUAAAUAAAGACUGAGGGCAUUCUUCAGCUUUUUGACAGUGUAACCUGCAGAAGAGUUUGAAGGAAGAAGAGGCCAAAGACAUCUAAUUAGAUACACCAAUGUAUUAAAUACAAAGGUGUCCUCCAGAAGUACCAAUUCCUCUCUCCACUGACAACAGAAGGUGAAAACCGAUUUGCAGGAGGUGGGAUGAAUCCCAGCUCUGUCUUGUUGCCACCCAGACAGCUUUUAUGGAGUACUUACCAAACUGAAACCAGAAAUAGAAGGCAAGAAUCUACUGCUCUAUCCCUACUCACAUGAUAGCAAUGACCUCUUCAAGUUACCCAUCUGCAGAAUACACUCUGAUCUUUGCAGACAAGAUCCUUUCAAAAAUUCUUUGCAAAUGCAAAAGACAGAUCAUUUUCUAGAAGAGACCCAUCAUGCCGCAAAGCUACAAAGAAGAUCAUUAUUGCUAAUGAUACAGCCAGCCGGUUUGGAAUCUGGUCUCCUUUUCAAGCUCUAUCAACAACGAGUUCUCACAAAGAUAUCUCUCUCCAUUACCCCCUGCUUGCAACCACAUGAAAGUGCUGGGUUUUCUAUCCAGCAUUAGGAGAGAAUUCUUGGCAAAGUAAUAUUUACAGAGGGAGGGGUUGGCUGCUGAUCCAUUUAGACUCAUGCUUGUCACCAAGCUCCUUAAUGGAAAGCAGCUGAGCCAUUUGUAAAAGGUUCAGAGCAAGGGAGGAGGGAGAAGCAGAGCUGACUGCAUCCUGGUAAACUCAGAGUGUCUGAUGAUGAGGACCGUGGUCAGGCACGGAGCUAAGGCCAGUGAGCACCCUCACAACAGAACAGGGCAUAUCACAGCUUCAGCCAACUCACAGUCUCUCUUCACUUUACACAGCAUCUGGGACUUGCACAGAGGACCUCCUGGGAGAAAAAGAAAUGUCACCAUUCAGAUCUCCCUCCUCAGCCACCAAACUGUUCGGGUGCCUGCACAUCUAGAGCUGGGUUCACUCUUCCCCAGGCCAUGGAGAAUUGGAGUCCUCCCUUGCAAAAUGAAGGGCAGAUGCAGGCAUGAUGUCAGCCCUCAAAUCCCAGGCCUUGCUGCGUCGGCAUUUGGGUCGGGCCCUGUUUCACAAAGAGGAGAUUAGAAAAUAAAGCAGACUGGGUGAAGUGGGAAGGGGGA